UACGAAGGGGGCUAGCGUUGCUCGGAAUUACUGGGCGUAAAGGGAGCGUAGGCGGAUAGUUAAGCCAGAGGUGAAAGCCCAGGGCUCCAACCUUGGAAUUGCCUUUGAUACUGGCUAUCUUGAGUAUGGGAGAGGUAAGCGGAACUCCGAGUGUAGAGGUGAAAUUCGUAGAUAUUCGGAAGAACACCAGUGGCGAAGGCGGCUUACUGGCCCAUUACUGACGCUGAGGCUCGAAAGCGUGGGGAGCAAACAGG
rnacentral:rRNA from 1 species